rnacentral:rRNA from 1 species
CUACGGGUGGCUGCAGUGAGGAAUAUUGGUCAAUGGGCGCAAGCCUGAACCAGCCAUGCCGCGUGCAGGAAGACUGCCCUAUGGGUUGUAAACUGCUUUUAUACGGGAAUAAAUACAGCUACGUGUAGUUGUUUGCAUGUACCGUACGAAUAAGCAUCGGCUAACUCCGUGCCAGCAGCCGCGGUAAUACGGAGGAUGCAAGCGUUAUCCGGAUUUAUUGGGUUUAAAGGGUGCGUAGGCGGGACAGUAAGUCAGUGGUGAAAUCUUGCGGCUUAACCGUAAAACUGCCAUUGAUACUGUUGUCCUUGAAUUCGGUUGAAGUAGGCGGAAUGUGUAAUGUAGCGGUGAAAUGCUUAGAUAUUACACAGAACACCGAUUGCGUAGGCAGCUUACUAAGCCGUAAUUGACGCUGAGGCACGAAAGCGUGGGUAGCGAACAGGAUUAGAUACCCCAGUAGUC